CCGUGCUAGCCGGGGAGGUAGCGGUGCCCUGUACUUGCAACCCGCUGUAGCAAGGGUGAUGCUUCGUCUGAGGCAGAAAUUUGUAUAGUCUGCCCUUAAUAAGUGGCGAUGAGGAUUGGGUCUUACGCAAUAAGUACUUAUGAACCGUGUCAGGUCCGGAAGGAAGCAGCACUAAGUAAGAUCACUUAUGUGCCGUGAGGUUGCCUAGUCUGAGUUAACUGUUAAGGUAACGUAUAUGGCUUUUUGUCGAAGCGAAGUGCACGG
rfam:Clostridium lentocellum DSM 5427, complete genome.